UGGGGAAUAUUGCACAAUGGAGGGAACUCUGAUGCAGCGACGCCGCGUGAGUGAUGAAGGAAUUCGUUUCGUAAAACUCUGUUCUAUGGGAAGAAAAGGACUGUACCGUAGGAGAAAGCUCCGGCUAAAUACGUGCCAGCAGCCGCGGUAAUACGUAUGGAGCGAGCGUUGUCCGGAAUUAUUGGGCGUAAAGGGUGCGCAGGCGGCUUUACAAGUUGGAUGUGAAAUAUUGUGGCUCAACCACAAACGUGCAUCCAAAACUGCAAAGCUUGAGUUAAGGAGAGGUAAGUGGAAUUCCUGGUGUAGCGGUGGAAUGCGUAGAUAUCAGGAGGAAUACCGGUGGCGAAGGCGACUUACUGGACUUAAACUGACGCUCAGGCACGAAAGCGUGGGGAGCAAACAGG
rnacentral:rRNA from 1 species